GGAUGAACGCUAGCUACAGGCUUAACACAUGCAAGUCGAGGGGAACGAUAUUGGAAGCUUGCUUCCGAUAGGCGUCGACCGGCGCACGGGUGAGUAACGCGUAUCCAACCUGCCCGUCACUUGGGAAUAACCUUGCGAAAGUAAGACUAAUGCCCAAUGACAUUUAUAGAAGGCAUCUGAAAUGAAUUAAAGAUUUAUCGGUGAUGGAUGGGGAUGCGUCUGAUUAGCUUGUUGGCGGGGUAACGGCCCACCAAGGCGACGAUCAGUAGGGGUUCUGAGAGGAAGGUCCCCCACAUUGGAACUGAGACACGGUCCAAACUCCUACGGGAGGCAGCAGUGAGGAAUAUUGGUCAAUGGGCGAGAGCCUGAACCAGCCAAGUAGCGUGCAGGAAGACGGCCCUAUGGGUUGUAAACUGCUUUUAUAGGGGAAUAAAGUGAGCCACGUGUGGCUUUUUGCAUGUACCCUAUGAAUAAGGACCGGCUAAUUCCGUG
rnacentral:rRNA from 1 species